rnacentral:rRNA from 1 species
UGCGUAGGUGGUCCUUCAAGUCGAUGGUUAAAGGCUACGGCUCAACCGUAGUAAGCCGCCGAAACUGGAGGACUUGAGUGCAGGAGAGGAAAGUGGAAUUCCCAGUGUAGCGGUGAAAUGCGUAGAUAUUGGGAGGAACACCAGUAGCGAAGGCGGCUUUCUGGACUGCAACUGACACUGAGGCACGAAAGCGUGGGUAGCAAACA